UGGCGCACGGGUGCGUAACGCGUGGGAAUCUGCCCUUGGGUUCGGAAUAACAGUUAGAAAUGACUGCUAAUACCGGAUGAUGACGUAAGUCCAAAGAUUUAUCGCCCAAGGAUGAGCCCGCGUAGGAUUAGCUAGUUGGUGAGGUAAAGGCUCACCAAGGCGACGAUCCUUAGCUGGUCUGAGAGGAUGAUCAGCCACACUGGGACUGAGACACGGCCCAG
rnacentral:rRNA from 1 species